rnacentral:tRNA from 1 species
GCCGGCGUAGCUCAAUUGGUAGAGCAGUUGAUUUGUAAUCAGCAUGUUGGGGGUUCGAUUCCUCUCGCCGGCUCCA